GUAAAUUUUCACUAAGAUCACUUUGAUUUAUUUUCUUUGUUUGUAAAUAUAGUAUGUUCGAGGAUUGUCUUUCUGCGAAAUAUCCAUGCUUGCCCGAAAAAGAACUCUACGCGAGAAGAGCUGAAGAAUAUCAUUUAUGGGUUAAAGAAUAUGUAAGUCUACAUCAAUUUCUUGCAUUC
rnacentral:sRNA from 1 species